UUGGCGCAUGAAGAAUUCACUGAUAUGUGAGUCUUGGAAGAAAGUAAACCCUGAAAUCACAUUAUCUGGAAACUGAUAGAAGUUGUCAAAUACUCGCUUUACCAUCCUCCCGUGUAGCCUAGAUUUGGCUGCAUGACCUACUGCUAAUAAGGAGCACCUGCAUGGCUCUGAGUCAGGAACUAGUAACACAAAGAAGCAUAAAGUAGCAGUCAGUUCUUUCUCUUGCAACAGUGCAGUUGUGGCCAAAUUGAGUUCCCAAAGCAGAGGCAGUGGGAGAGAAAGGGGCAGAGUCCUGCAUACUCAGCUGCAUCAGUUAAUAGCAGUCUUCUCUCUGGGCUGCCUCUGCAGCAUGAUUUUGGGCAUUGUUCUUGGCUGCACCACUCUGAGCUUGGUUCUUCACCCUCAUAAUGAUUCUGUAAGCUGCCCAAUUUCUUUGCUACUAAAUCAGACAGGAUUGAUUUUUGUUACUUGAAACUAAAAACCCCAAUGAAGACAAAGGGUCUGCCAGAAGAUAGCUGGCUUGCACAGUCAGCUGGCAGUACAUUUAUGGGAUGCCACCUAGGUCACCACUAAGCAUGAACUCUGCUUCACAGGGUGAGGAUUCAGAGAGAGAAGUAAAUCCCCUUUUGGUGGAAGGGUAUCCAUUCCCUGGCAUACAUCUCUAUGCCUCCUCUGGCAAUGAGGUUUCUGACAAUAAUAACUGCUCUUGGCUUAAUAGGACUAGAUUUAUAUGCCUAGCCCUGGCACUAACUAGUUAUGUGACUUUGGGUAAAUUACUUAGCCUUUAUGAGCUCCAUUUAGUUGGCUGUGAAAAGGAGUUAAGAUUACAUGUUUCUAUUAUUACAUUUGUUCACUUACAUCAUAAUUAUUUGUUUUUUCAACUUUAUUGGAGUAUAAUUUACAUAUUAUAAAAUUCACCCACUUCAAGCGUAUAAUUCAAUGACUUUUAGUGAAUUUAUUGAAUUGUGGAGAGGCAUUAUCAUAAUCCAGUUUUAAAACAUUUUCACCACCCCAAUUAGAUCCUUCAUGAUCAUUUACAGUUAAUCACUAUUCCCACCCAUGGCCCAGGCAAACACCAAUCUACUUUCUGUCUCUAUAGAUUUGCCUUUUCUGGAAAUUUCAUGUAAACAGAAUCAUACAAUCAUAACUAUGUGUUACACUAGCCUCCUGCUAUACAUACAGUCUCCAAGUUAGGAUGUUUCCACUUAACGAUUUUUUGACUUUCUGAUUGUGUGGAUGUGAUAGGCAUUCAGUAGAAACCAUACUUUUGAGUAUCUAUACAACCAUUCUGUUUUUCACUUUAAGUACAGUAUGCAGUAAAUUACACGAGAUAUUUAAUACUUCAUUAUAGAAUAGACUUUUUGUUAGAUUAUUCUGCCCAACUUUAGGCUAAUGUAAGUGUUCUGAACAUGUUUAAGGCAGGCUAGGCUAAGCUAAGAUGUUCAGUAGGUUCGGGGUAUUAAAUGUAUCUAAUUGACUUAUGGUAUUUUCAAUUUACAGUGGGUUUGAUGAGACAUAACCUCAUCGCAAGUAGAGGAACAUCUGUAUAGUGAGUUUCCAGAAGGCCUAUAUCUAAUGGAACUGUUUAUGUACAAUGCAUAGUAUUGUUUUGUAUGUAGUGAAGACCCAAGGGAAAAAAAAAACUGAUAUUAAUUCUUAUGAGGUGGUGGUUGUGAGGAUUAAAUAAAUCUAAUAAACUCUUGCUACUCUAAUGUGGUCCCUAGACCAACAGCUUAUUAGAAAUGUAGUCUUAGGGCCCAUUCCAGACAUAGUGAAUUAGAAUCUGCAUUAUCACGAGAUCCUCGGGUGAUUCAUAUUGUCAUUAAAGUUUGAGCAGUACUGCUCUAGACAGUAAGUUCCAUGAGGGUGGGGAUUAUGUAUGGCACAUAAUAUGUACUCAAUAGUAUUUGUUGUAUGAAUAAAUGAAUGGUGAUUUGUAAACUGUUUAAAGCCUUAUGUACACAGGAUUGCCAAAGAACAGAAGUAUGGAUUUUUGGCUUAACUAUAAAAUCUGUUAGAGAAACAGAUUGGACUGAUACUUUAUAAUACCAGUUUAUAUACAGAAGCAAGUAUGUUUAUUUUUCUUAUAUCUGAUUGACAAUUCCAUGACAAAACCCAGUUUUAGGAUAAAAAUAUAGUCCCUUAACUGAAAUGGACUUUAUAGUGAAUUUAUUAGCAUGACAGUUAAUUAUGGAACUUCUUACUUCUAAAGAUUGACAAAGAAAAUUUAUUGCAGUUCUUUUUUGUAUAAGAGAUAAGACCUUGAUCAACAGCUAAGAAGCCAAUGUCAGACUUCAAGAGAGAGGAUUGGUAGAUGUUGUAUAAUUAUCAUCAAUCUCUAACAAGGAAAACCCAUCUAGUUUUCCACUUAAAGUAUUCUGGCUUGAAAUGCUUUAAUUUAUUCAUUUAAUCAUUCUUCAAAUCAUCAAACAUUUAUCAAAUUUGUCACUCUUUGACAAGUGCUGUGCUAGUCCUUUCUGAUGGAUUGCCAGGUACAAUAUUCUUGAGGAGUUCCAUAUCAAUACAAUGAUGAUAGCUUUUUAACUACAUGCACUAACAAAAGACUUUUUAUGAUUUAUGAGUUCGAGUGUUAAAGUCUUAAAAUGCUAUUAAAAUUCAACCACAUUAGUUAUAUAUUUAACAAAUUUAUUGAAUAGGGUAAAGUUAUAUUUUACAGAUAAAUCCAGGCUAUAUAGUUAACACAGAUUAGACAUUGUUUUUAUUUAGGGUUGCUAAAGGAAUAGGAAUAUAAUAAGGGUGUCCUGGCAAUUUUCCAUUUGCUCCUUUAGAUCCAUUUUUCACCCUAUUUGUCUUGCUUUUUAUUAGAAGCUGAACUCUACAGACUGUACAACCCACACCCUCUGGUUUCUGGUUUGCUUUGGCCAACGAUGGAUGGACUUCACUUUCAACUGCAUAAGUAAUGAUGAAAAUAAGGCCUGACCUACUAGAUUCCUCCGGCCAUAUGUCCUAAUCAAAGCCAGUGAAAUGUAAGAAGACUUCUGCUGACACCUGUGGGAAAGAGGCUGAAAUAAAAGAUAACAGAAACUUCAAUAAUCUGGAGCCAUAAAUGGUUGGAAAAGCCCCAAGAGAAUGUUAAUGUCAAUGAAGGCAACAAAUGGAUAAGACUAGAACUUAGGAAAAGUCUGAACACUCUCAGCCCUCUCUCAAGCAAUUCCUGCAUGCUGAGAAAGUCUAUCAAGAAGGAGAAUGCUGAAGAGGUAUAGUCCCUAGAGAAUCAUCCUCCGCAUUGUCCAUUACAGAUGUGGCCAUGGAGGAACAAUGGAUGAGAAAUCCUCCAAGAACAGAACAUAUGUCAGCCAGAUUGGUUGGCCAAAGAACUUCCUCUCCUCUAAUGUUAGGAAGUCCUUGUUAUUCCUGUCUAGCAAGAUAUGAUAUAUGCUAUGAAUGAGAGACCACUCUAUUUAUAUUUCCAAAUAUGAGUUUUCACUGAAGUUUUUUCUUUUUCUAUUGUUAUAUAUUAAGUGUUUUAUAGCUGAUUUUAUCAUGUGGUCUCAGAUUUUACUAGACCAUGAAAAACUAUAUUGUUGCAUGAUGGAGGCUUGCAUAUCAUGUUGCUAUUCUGGAGUUGAAGUUGUUUGUAGUACUUAUAUAUGAGUACAUUUUUAGUGGUAAAAAAUAUUGUUGCAUUGUGUAGCCACUGACAUUGGUGAAGGCAUGUGUAGGGGGGAAGAGUGUGUGGAGACAUCAAGAAAAGAACAAGCAUGUAUGGUAUGUUUGCUGUUUCCAUUACCUGGGACACAACCAUCCUUCUUCUGAUAACCAUACUCCUAUUUUCCUAAGUCAAAUCACCUUCUUGUGCCAUUCAUUUGUUACUUACAGACAACUCCUGGGAUGUGUUCAUAAAUCACUCCAGGCCAAUCUGAGCAUCUCAUUCUUUUGGCAACAAUGAUUGGUUUAGGAAUGGGCACUUAACCUUUACUGGUGGUGAGGAUGGCGUGAGUCUAGGGCUGCUGGUUGCUUACUUGUGGAGUUUGAGAAUGAAGCAAACAACAGAGGAGAGAGCUAACAUAUGGAGGAGAAUCUGAAUUUGACAUAAUUUGAACUCUUCUGCCAACCCCAGGUCUAAUAAAACUAUCUUGAAUUUUUCAAUUAUGUGAGCCAAUAAAUUCCUUUCUCUG